rnacentral:other from 1 species
AUGUACCUGCGAUGUACGUAAGCCCCUGAAUGUUUCUAACCUACAUGAAACAUUAGGGAUUCAAGACCAGCCGCAGCUGUCAAGCCAACUUUUGCUUGGAAGGCAAAAGCGACUGUGAGAUGCCCACCUGCGAGUAGCAGGUUUAGAAACCACGGCGCGACGGCAUAGGCGGGUACAUU